rnacentral:rRNA from 1 species
AACGAACGCUGGCGGCGCGCCUAAUACAUGCAAGUCGAGCGAGAAGGUGUAACAAUACACUUGUAAAGCGGCGAACGGGUGAGGAAUGCAUGGGUAACCUACCCUCGAGUGGGGAAUAACUAGCCGAAAGGUUAGCUAAUACCGCAUACGUUUCCGGAACUUCGGUUUCGGAAAGAAAGCAAUACCGUGGGUAUUGCGCUCCUGGAUGGGCUCAUGUCCUAUCAGCUUGUUGGUGAGGUAACGGCUCACCAAGGCUUCGACGGGUAGCUGGUCUGAGAGGACGAUCAGCCACACUGGCACUGCGACACGGGCCAGACUCCUACGGGAGGCAGCAGUAAGGAAUAUUGCGCAAUGGACGAAAGUCUGACGCAGCGACGCCGCGUGGGGGAUGAAGGUCUUCGGAUUGUAAACCCCUUUCGGGAGGGAAGAUGGAGUGGGGUAACCACUUGGACGGUACCUCCACGAAGCAGCCACGGCUAACUUCGUGCCAGCAGCCGCGGUAAU